UACGUAGGGUGCGAGCGUUGUCCGGAAUUAUUGGGCGUAAAGAGCUUGUAGGCGGUUUGUCGCGUCUGCUGUGAAAUUUCGGGGCUCAACCCCGAACUUGCAGUGGGUACGGGCAGACUAGAGUGUGGUAGGGGAGACUGGAAUUCCUGGUGUAGCGGUGAAAUGCGCAGAUAUCAGGAGGAACACCGAUGGCGAAGGCAGGUCUCUGGGCCGAUACUGACGCUGAGGAGCGAAAGCGUGGGGAGCGAACGGG
rnacentral:rRNA from 1 species